rnacentral:sRNA from 1 species
GCUGGGCACAGUGGCACAUGCCUGUAAUCCCAGUGACUUGGGAGGCUGAGGCAGGAGGAUCGCAAGUUCAAAGCCAGCCUCAGCAAUUUAACAAGUCCCUAAUCAACUUAGCAAGACCCUGUCUCAA